rnacentral:sRNA from 1 species
CGGAAGCAGCUUGAAAAUGGCGUCUCCCUUGCUGGAGCGGCCAGAAAAAGGGGCUGGAAAAAGUGAAUUUCGUAACCAGAAGCCGAAGCCGGAGAACCAAGAUGAAUCAGAACUCCUUACAGUUCCUGAUGGUUGGAAGGAACCAGCUUUUUCCAAAGAGGACAAUCCCAGAGGACUUUUGGAGGAGAGCAGUUUUGCAACUUUGUUCCCAAAAUACAGGGAAGCUUACUUGAAAGAGUGUUGGCCAUUGGUGCAGAAAGCCUUAAAUGAACAUCAUGUUAAUGCAACCCUGGACCUGAUCGAAGGCAGCAUGACUGUUUGUACUACAAAGAAGACUUUUGAUCCAUAUAUCAUCAUUAGGGCCAGAGAUCUGAUAAAACUGUUAGCAAGGAGUGUUUCGUUUGAACAGGCAGUACGAAUUCUUCAGGAUGAUGUUGCAUGUGACAUCAUUAAAAUAGGUUCUUUAGUAAGGAAUAAAGAGAGAUUUGUAAAACGAAGACAACGGCUUAUUGGUCCCAAAGGAUCUACAUUGAAGGUAUUUUUUAAUUAGUGGAAAACUUGAGUCUCUUCCUUAAUAAUUUUUCAGAGUAAUGAAUUUUAACUUGAUCUCUUGAUACAGGCAUUGGAACUCUUAACUAAUUGUUACAUUAUGGUUCAGGGAAACACAGUUUCAGCCAUUGGACCUUUUAGUGGCUUAAAAGAGGUGAGAACUAUGUAUUAUCUUCGAUUCAUUUUCAGCAGAGAACAAAUAAUUUGGUUAUAAUUUAUUGGAUAAUGCUUUAUAAUUGUAUUUUUUUUAGAAUGUGCUUUGAUUUCCCAUUAGUAAAUACUUUUUGUGUCAUAUAAUUCAA